UACGUAGGGGGCAAGCGUUGUCCGGAAUCAUUGGGCGUAAAGAGCGCGUAGGCGGCCCAGUAAGUCCGCUCUGAAAGUCAGGGGCUCAACCCCUGAAUGCGGGUGGAUACUGCUGGGCUAGAGUCCGGAAGAGGCGAGUGGAAUUCCUGGUGUAGCGGUGAAAUGCGCAGAUAUCAGGAGGAACACCGAUGGCGAAGGCAGCUCGCUGGGACGGUGACUGACGCUGAGGCGCGAAAGCGUGGGGAGCGAACAGG
rnacentral:rRNA from 1 species